CUUCGCCUGUGCUGCUGGGGUACCUCUUCCAGCUUAGUUCCAUCUGAAAGGAAUCUGGUCUGUGCUUGGAGACUGCACAGUAUGUGGGGCAUUCUGGCUUCAGAAGCACGCUGCUACUCCAGACUUGAGCACUGAUGUAAUGGGAAGGGGCAGAGGGAAUACUCAGAAUGUACUAUUUCAUGUUACAGGUGCUGACAGCAUGUGGAGCUGAGAGCAGUGAAAGUCCAAAGGACUGGGGCACCAGAGGAGGUCACCAGGAGCUGUCAUGACUGCAGGACAUAUAUAAGCCCUGCAGGAAAGAGAAAGGGAGAAUGAUUCAUUGGUUGAUGCAAGCCUCUGUAGGUGUGAAGAACACUUGUCCAUUCGUAAUUGAAACUAUUCAAGAUGCAUGGGCCUGAAAGGGCAUUAUAAGUUUCUCUUGCUCUCUGGUGUAGUAAAGAUCUUGUCUUCUAGCAAACAAUAUGAAUGAAAGAUUUUCUUACAAGAAGAGACGGAGUAGACUGAAUCAAGCCUCUGUCAAGAACCACUUCUGCAAUACUGAAUUAACAUACCUAAGAUCAGCACAUCAGGAAGAUAGCCUUCUACCAAGAAUAGUGUGGAGAUACACCUUGUUCACAGAAGCUCUGGAAACAUCAUGAGACUCAGACAGAUACAGUGCAUCCUCCGAUUGCGGAGAUGUUGCUGCUCUCUGAGCACUGCACACUCUGUGUUCAUGACUGAUGGAAAUAAUGCCCGGUUUUGGGGGAGCUUUGUGUUAUGGGAGACAGUAACAGCUGCUCUAAUAGGGUGGCUUAUCACUUUCUUGUGGAGACAGGUUCUAUCAUCUCAUUAAUGCAAGCCCUGCCCCUUCACCUAGAUUCCUUCCCAGGCAGCUACAGUGGAUCUGCUCACCAAGGGAAUUUGUCCCACUGGAUUCCAUUUUUUUCUGUGCAGUUGAAUGAAAAGUGUGUGUCUUUUGAAGAACAGCAACUGAAAGAAAUAUUGAUGACUGCCAGGGUAUCUACAGAAAAUGAUAUGAAAAUUACUCUACUACAACAGUGAAGAAAAAUGGGCUUUGUUAACUCUUUCUUGUAGGUUGUUUAUAUUAAUAGGAACAAGUAAAGUUUUGUAUUUUUUCAGAGAAAUACACAAGGCCUUGAAUUGUAUUGUUUUAAUUGCAGCUAACUGAAUGAAUUAAGUGGAAAAACGCGCACAGUACUUUGAUUGUCUAAUUCUCUGUAUGUGAGGCUUUGGGAACAAUUUGUUACUAUAAAAGAACAGCAGUAACCAGAAAUCAGCCGACAUGUAAUUGCUAGGCAGAGGGGCAGUUUGGGGAAAGCUGAUACUUAUUUAUAAAUUAUUAAAUAAAAGCACAUAAUAUGAGGAUCA
rnacentral:lncRNA from 1 species